GAUUUGGACCAGGCUCCUGCACUGGGCCAGCAGACCAAACCAAUGCAGAGUUCAAUCACAGUCACUGAGUUUUGCUUCAUUGCACGAGGCCCUGUAGCCAACUGACUAACUAAGCUGCAGCCAAUUGACUGGUUGAUGAGCCAGGCUGUGGCUGAUUAAGUUGUUUUCUCGGCCUCAUUUCGAUUUUUCUGCGAACGCUGUCUGAGCAGGCUUCAGAACCCGCUCUGCCCUCGAAGCUGCCUGAGGUGUGCAUCGUGUCUUGCUUUGGCUGUCUUUGGUCACAUACACUCUGCUGAGUCUAACCGGACUAAAGGACAAGGAUAAGAAAUUUUCUUUUCAGCAGUUUCGGCAUGUCAGCAGGGUCUGAGCCGGGAGCAUCCAGUCACCAAGCACAAGGACCUUGGAGGCCGUGGUGCUAUUUCUGGUGGCCACUGGGGAUUGUGGAAUCAUGUCACCUGGAGCCUGUACCCCUGAGUGCACCUGCCCAGAGGGACACCCCACAGGCAAAAUGGAAGAGCCUCCUGGCUUUGUGCACCACUGCAAGCGUCGGAGAAAGCUACAUCUGCCCUCUCCUUUCUCUACCCUGCCUUGGAGCCAGCCAAUUACAGACUGAAACCCCUAAACACUAU
rnacentral:lncRNA from 1 species